GCCCUUGUAGUUCAAUGGACAGAACAGCGGACUUCUAAGCCGUUGAUCGUGGUUCGAUUCCACGCAGGGGCA
rnacentral:tRNA from 1 species